CCUACGGGUGGCAGCAGUGAGGAAUAUUGGUCAAUGGACGAGAGUCUGAACCAGCCAAGUAGCGUGAAGGAUGACUGCCCUAUGGGUUGUAAACUUCUUUUAUAUGGGAAUAAAGUGUUCCACGUGUGGGUUUUUGUAUGUACCAUAUGAAUAAGGAUCGGCUAACUCCGUGCCAGCAGACGAGGUAAUACGGAGGAUCCGAGCGUUAUCCGGAUUUAUUGGGUUUAAAGGGAGCGUAGGUGGAUUGUUAAGUCAGUUGUGAAAGUUUGCGGCUCAACCGUAAAAUUGCAGUUGAUACUGGCAGUCUUGAGUAUAGUAGAGGUGGGCGGAAUUCGUGGUGUAGCGGUGAAAUGCUUAGAGAUCACGAAGAACUCCGAUGGCGAAGGCAGCUCACUGGACGGCAACUGACACUGAGGUGCGAAAGUGUGGGGAGCAAACAGGAUUAGAUACCCUUGUAGUC
rnacentral:rRNA from 1 species